rnacentral:lncRNA from 1 species
GAACAGGUGCGGUUUGGGAGGACAUGGCUACGGGCACCAGACAGGUAGAGGACAGGGGUGCUGCUGAAUAUCCCAUGGUGCACAGCGCAGACUCUGCCACGGAUUAGCCUGCCCCGUGUGUCAGGAGCACCGAGGGGGGCGGUGCUGAUCCAGGUCUCGUUCUGCCCUUUGCCUCCGCACGUUACUGCUCAGGAUGGGAAUUCGCUUUCCUUGCCGUCGCGUUUUGAUUUGGGUGAGAUAUUCAAAGGUAAACCCUGUGAUAUUAGAACCCGUAAGUGAAGUCGACUGAUCUGAGAAAUUUGCUCUUCGCAGCUCAUUUUUGGGGUGGGGGGCAACCGGCAUGAAAACAUCAGGAUUUAAAGACAAUUUGGAUAGGAGGUUGGCCUUAACAGGUACACACCCCUGUAUAUAAAAUAGAUAACCAACCAGGACCUACUGCACAGCCCAGGGAACUGUACUCAGUAUCUCACAAUAACCUGAAAGGGGAAGAAUCAGAAAAAGGACAGAGAGGUGAUUGUAUCAUUGAAGCAUGAUGCUGUGUAUCUGAACCUUUACGACGCUGUAAAUCAAGUACACUUCAAUUAAAAAUAAAUAAGCUCUAAGCGGUGAUGUAGUUUGUAGACGCGGCUCAGAUCCCGCAUUGCUGUGGUGUAGGUCGGCAGCUGCGGCUCUGAUGCGACCCCUAGCCAGGGAACGUCCAUGUACCUCCAGUGAGGCCCUGAAAAGCUAAAUAAAUAAAUAAAUUGACUGUGAGACAAACAAAAAAAGACCAUUUAGAAAUGGAGUUUCCUGGUAGCCUACCCUAGGCCGGGUUGGGGCUGGGGACAGAGGGCUCCCCGAGAGAGGUGUGGGGUGUGCGAGCCUCUGCAGAAGCCACCAGUGCUUCUGCACAUACGCGACUGAAUAGCCUCAUUCUUAGGGGGCCCGGCUCCCCUCUCCUCCGAAACUGCCUUUGGCUUUGCCCAGGGAGCCGUGGCCUGACCGAGGAGUCAGUCUGGCUUUCCGUGGCUCUGCUCCUGCGUUUGUUAGAGAUUCGGUGCGAACCCAUAAAUCCCACUUGGCUUCCAGUAGCAGCCUGCAGGGUGUGUAGAUCGAGCAUUAGGAAAACAGUAAAUCCAGCCCAUUUAUUCACAUUAACCAGUAAAGGCAUCCUGCGUGCCCACGUAACUACUGGAAAUUACUGACGUGGCCUUGCAGACCAUGAAAAGAUGGAAGCAUAUGGCAGAAUUCGUAUGUGAACAGAUUGCUUUUUCUCAUAAGAGUGCUUUAUUAGAAUAUCAACCAUUAUGGCUUACUGAGGGGACGCUUCCCGCCUUGGAUGUCAGCCCCGCGGCCCCCCAGCACCCUUUUGUUCCCCGCGAGCUCCUCUGCACCUCACCCUCCGCCUUGCUGCUUCUAAAUGGCCUCCUUAAGCCCGGAGGUGGGCCCUUCGGUUUCCCAUAAAUUAAUAACAUACCCAUGAAUAUUUCCCAGCGCAUCUUCGAAGCUCUCAUCGGUUCCAAUACCAGAACCGUAAAAACGGGGGACAGCUGAAGCGAGCUGCUUCUCUCAAAUGCUCUUCCAACGGCGAAGCAAAAUAUCAUUAAUGUCGACUGUCUGCCCCUUUCAUUUACCAUGUUGCUGCUCGUGGGAUUACAGGCACAAAGCUUUCAUAAAUUUCCAAGGAAACACGAGCAUUUGUUGUCAAAAUACUCUUGAGCUCUGAACACUCUGCUGGUACUCGCUCCGUUUAUUAUUACCGUCGUUGUCGUUAUUAUUAUACUAAUUAUCGUAGUAUUUCUAUCCACAGGCGUUCACAUGUCUUGAAUCCUGCCCCCACGCCCCCGCUCGUUUCUCCCCGCUCUUUCUUCUUCAUUCUCUCUUCCAUCCCUCCCUCGCUGGACAAGCAGCACACAGGAAAUGAAAGAGCCGGUGAAGGAGUCUUGUCCAUCCAUCCGGCUGUGUGGCUGUGCUGUGAUUCGGGGGAAUACGUUUGUGCCCCUGUUGGCGAGCAGAGGGUCUCGUCUUUCACACUGGAAGUAGGUCCCGGGGGCUUUCGCUGACUCCAUCGGAGAGCCACACGCGGGUCCCACCUGGGAGGCUGUGGCCUGGGCAAGGAAAGCUCAGGGGCCGAAUCAGAGACAGGGGAGCCGAGCUGGAAAGGCAGCCUUUGCGGAGAGCGGCCAAGGUCACAGCUGGAAGGAGGACAACCUGUUCCAAAUCCGAGGGGCCCUGCACACCGGGAGCAAAGAAAUCCAGGCAGGGCUGUUAGCUGAGAGAGUCGAGAGCCAGACAGAGUGUAUUCAGGGCAAGAAUAAAACAAAGCAACAUAAAAUCAUAGAAUAAAGCCAUCUGCUAAGCCUCGACCUGGUGACAAACGCUUUGGGGGCCCAUGAGUGUGCAUCGGAUAUGCUGCGGAAGGAAGGGAGGGUGUGACUCCCCCACGGGGCUGCCCUGAGUCAGAGGGCAUUCGUCAUUCUCGCAGUGGGCUCCCGGAUCCAGCACCAUCGCCAUCGCCCGAGAACUUAAAGAUGCGCCCACAGCAUCUGGAAGUUCCUGGACGACGGACUGAAUCCAAGCUGGAGCCUCAGCUGCAGCAACACUGGAUCUUUUAAGCCACUGCCCCCGGCCAGGGAUCAAACCCACACCUCUGCCACCACCUGAGCUGCUUGCAUUUGGAUUCUUAACCCCCUGUGCCACGGCAGGAACUCCAAAGACACACAUUCUUGAGCCCCGCUGUGGAUCUCCUGAAUCCAAAUCCCUGGGGGUGGGGCCUGCCGUCUCUUUGAAGCAGCCCUCCAGCUCAUUCUGAUGGUGGUCAAGUUGGAGAGAGCAGGGCAGGCAGGGAGCACAGUAGACACCACCUGCCCAGGGCCUGGGAAGCAGGCGUACCUGCCUGCGGCGGCAGGCCUUCGGGCAGGUCUGUGAAACUCUCUGUGCCUGGCAGCUUCCUCCACCAGGGGGAUAACAGUGCCUCCGAUCUCGCAGGGUUUUUUAGAAGGAUGCUGGCCGCAGCGACAGCAGCUCAGACCCAUGUUGCCUUGGCUGUGUACCAGGCAGGGCUUUCGGCACUCAGCUCACACAUUCUCUGCUGAGAUCCUGAUAGGUGCCCAUGAAGUAGGUAGUAUUGGUACCCUGUCUUAAGUGGCCAUGCCACUAGUACACCAGCGUCACUCCUCAUUGUCCUCCUUCCAAAGCUCUGCUGGCCUCUGAGUGGCUACAUUAUUUACUUAAUCAAGGGGGGGUCGUGUGCCUGAAGAGCUUUAUGAGUUAUCAGUGCUACAUAAGAUAAUACAAAGUGGUGUUGCUAUUGUCAUCCUUUGUAUAUAUAUAUACACAAAUAUACCAAAUAUAUGUAUAUGCACAUGUAUUUUUAAAAAGUAAUUUUCAGCCUCUUUCCUUGGUAUUUCUCCUACGUGGGAGUCUCUGGCCUGGCUUAGCGCCAGUCAACGAAUGCAUUCACAAUCUGAACCAGGUCGGCCAGCUCACACUGGGUCUGGAUUUGGGCACUGGUGCCAGUUAAGACCCAGGCUUGCUCUAGAGGACACUGACUCAUGUUGCCCACCAAUACACGGAGGGGAGAAGAUAGGAGAUCCAGAUUAUUCCUGGGGAUUUUUGAAGGCUUCUGGGGUGGCUUUUGUGAGCAGAAGAGAAUGUCACAAGGUUUACCUAGGUGUUUUUUGGUUUUUUUUGUUUUUUUUUUUGUUUUUUUUUUUUUGUCUUUUUGCUAUUUCUUUGGGCCGCUCCCGCGGCAUAUGGAGGUUCCCAGGCUAGGGGUUGAAUCGGAGCUGUAGCCACCGGCCUACACCACAGCUCACGGCAACGCCGGAUCGUUAACCCACUGAGCAAGGGCAGGGACCGAACCCGCAACCUCGUGGUUCCUAGUCGGAUUCGUUAACCACUGCGCCACAAUGGGAACUCCAGUUUUUGAAAUGAAAACUUCAUUCACUCAUGUUCCAGAUUCCAAAUCCUGGUCCUUCUCUGGGCUUUUAGGUUGAACUUACACUCCGUAUUAUGUUGCGUGCAAGCCUGACAGAUGUUAGCAGUCACUAUUGAGGAGUAUGGAAUCACAUUUCUGCUUAUUUAUGCACUUAGGUAAAGACCUUGAAAACAUGAAGCUGUGUUAUAAAUGUAUGUUGAUUUCCUUUCGAGUGCUUCACUGCCAAACCUCCUAAGACUGUAGUUUGUGUAUAUGGCAUGAACUUCACCUUCAUUUCAAUGAACUUUCCCUAAUGUUCUGAUACUUUGUAAAUUUUGUGAUAUUGCUGCCUGCAAUCACAAUUCUGUCAUAUCACCAUUUGUAUAUUUAAAAUUGAAACUGUCAGGCUAAAUGAUAACACAGGGAUGAGCAAACUUUUUCCAUAACAGGCCACAUGGUAACUAUUUCCGGCUGUUUAAUUCAGAUGGACUUUGCCACGAUGUAAUAACCCUUUGCAUGAAAACAGCUGCAGAUAGUACAUCAAUGAGGGGACCUGGCUGUGGUCCAGGAAAACUUUAUUUAUAGAAACAAGUCGAGGGCCAGAUUUGACCCAGGGGCCAUAGUUUGCCGUCCUCUGCUCACGAAGGCCAGACCUGAACAUUACAACUUCAGAGGAUGCCACGUGUGUGAAAACAGGCCAACACAACAGCAUCGCUAUUCUCGUUUUGACUCUCUCAGUGAGUUUGUGUCUACUUCUAACAUAAAAACAUAUUUUAAAGUUUAUUUCAAGUGCUUGCUGGCUCGGUUUGGACUUUGUCUCUGCCAUAUGAUGCUGUGUGGCCUUGGACAAGGCACAGGACCUCCCUGUGCUUAUUCUGCUCACCUUUAAAGGGGGGUUAUGAUAGUACUUAUCUCAUAGGGUGGUUGUGAAAAUGGCCUUCAUCCUUUUCUGGAAGUUUCCCUGCGGUUAAACGUCCUGUAAGGAAACAGUGAUGUCGUAGCCAAAUGCUGUGGGGCUCACCUGGCUCUGUGGCUUUAGGUCUACCUCUCAGCAUCCAGAGGCGUCUUAACCACCAGAGAGCUCCUGGCAGACACAUGAACUCUUUCUCCUGGACAUCUGUGCUCUUAGGACAACCGCCUUUUUAUAGAUGCAACAGUUAUCCGUGGUUCUGUUUCUUAAGGGGGACAGAUCACCUGUUCUCUCCGAUUCCUGACACCUGCACCCUCCACCCGGUGGCACCUGGCUUGACAGAGGUUUGCAUUCCUUCUGGCUCUUCUGUGUAAUUAUCCUCCGACCGGUUCUCCAUCCCCUGUGAACUUGGUAGAAUUCGGUCCUCUGUUCACCUGUGUUCCGUCUCUCCAGACCAGGAAGUCUGCUGGGGCAUCUCUCCCGGGGUUUUCUGACUUGCAGUCACAUCUUGUAAGACAGCGGUCUUUGCUGAGGGUGGCACUCUCUUCUGCCCGUACCGUGGGCAUUUCCAACCCCAAGGCCACCGGGGCACUCUCUGCCUUGAGGAUGGGGAGGGUGGGCAGCUAGGGGGACAGGAUGGUGAGCAUUCUUAGAUGUGUGGCUGGUCCCACACGACAGAGGAGGAUGCUGGCAAUACUCCCGUCGAGAAAUAAGGUGGACCAAGGACAUGAGAGGACUGUGCCCAAGUUCCUAGUCAGUGCAGCCCAACAGGUUCCAAGGACCAAGGAAACCCUAAGCCUGGGGUAGGGGCCACGCUGGCCCCCUGGGGCCUCCCUUCUGUGCUCCAGGGCCGCCUCUGGCUGUGCCACCCUGUUACGCUCUCCUGUGGUAUUUCUCGUGACACUCAUGAGCCUGCAGGGGCCCUGGCCACAGUCCCCUCGCCUCACACUGGCCACAGCCUCCAGAGUCAGGGCUCAGAGCCUCGGCAGUCACUCCGUGGUGCUUGGCACAGAACGGGUGCUUAAUGAAUAUUUAUUGAAUGAUUUCCAGCUAAUGGAAGAAAGCUAAACAGUACAACACCCAGAGGAUUGAAGUUUAUUGAAAAUCGACCCGAAGGACUGUGGCGAAGAGAAUCUCAAAAGGCAGGGGGUGAGGGAUCGGUAUUUAUUAAGGGCCUUAAAAGUGAGUGCUGCAAUAGAAAGCGCGGUGUCAUAGGACAGGCACGGCCUGGGGCCGAAUCCAGACUCUGCCAGCUGUAGCUGUGUGGCCUUGGGCAAGUGCGUCAACCUCUCUGUGCCUCAUCGCGUUCUCUUUGAAGCAGGAAUGAAGGUGGUACUUAGCUCACAGCUCACGGGGAGAUUGGAGAAGGUAAUGUGCUAGUUCCAGAAAGCACUUGGACAGGGCCUUGCAGGUAUCGAGCGCCGCGUAGGUGUUGUUGGUUUUGUUGCCGAAAUUUGGCCUGCGUCUGCAGGUGCCGAAUUGAAAUGCAGAGACAGAGUCUUGGGUAGUGGAGAACAAGAUAGCUGUAUUGCUUUGCCCGGCAAAGGGGGCCACAGCAGGCUAAUGCCUUAAAGACUGUGCCCGCCUUGGAAGGGGUUGGGAUGUGGUUUUGUAGUUUGGGGAGUGGAAUAAGCAUCAGGGCAGGGCAAGCGCUCAUUGUCUUUCAAAGCUGGUGUCCAGUGGCCCCAGGACUGGUUCUGGGGGUCCUCCUUCUGGAAUGCAGAAGGCUUCAUCAAGCGGUUCUUCCAUCUGUUGGGGCUUUAGUUCUGCGGAAAGGCUCAAAGAUACUGUUAUAUAUAUUCCUUGAGGAGGAGCCAGGACCUGCCCCAAGGGACUGUUGUCCCUUGACCGCUCCUCCCUGGUCUCUGCCUCCCCCGCUUCCCUGAUUGGCACCCGCGUUUUGGAGUUCCGGGAAGGUUCUGGAGGCUGCAGCUUAUUCCCUAAAAGCAAGCCCUGGAGGACACAGAAAGGCUUGUGUGCCGGGAGCCCCAUGGGGCCCUGCUCGGUUGCAGUGUUGGUCAUUUGGUCAUCCCUCUUUGAUGGCUGGGGACACCGAAGGUCGCAUAGCAGAGGCCACAUGGCAGGGGCAGGGAGCCCGGCCGGCGCCCCCACUCUGCUCCUCGCCCCUUGCCACCGCCCUCUACCCACCCCCGUCUCUCCUUCCCACCUCCCUCGUUCAGGGCACCGAGCGGAGGCGAAGAGCAUGAGAAGACACACAUGAAGACCCGGGAGUGAGGUCUGGGCCCUUGGGACCUGGUGGAGCAGCAGGGGUGUCUGAGAUGGAAUCUGAUGUGUCGCCACCUGAGGAUGCAGCCACUCUGGUGGGUGGGGUGGGGGUGGAGCCCCAGUGACAGAAGCCGAGGAAGAGCUGGCCUGAGGGUUUCCUGAUGGCCAGGAGCCCUGGACUGGGCGCCCUGGACAAGGAGCAGGGGUUGACUGUCUCCAGGGGGGAAGCCACUGGGAAGGACAGAGAAGCUGAACGGGGUGGCGGGAGGGAGCCAGGGGGCGUCCCGUGCUCUCUGGGCACAUUUGUCUGAGCGCCCCGAGUCCAGAGAGGAGAGCUGUGUGCCCUGGGGCCAUGAGAACACAUCCCCAGAGCAGCUGGCCUCCCCCCCACGAUGCUCUAGGCAGGAGACAGGGACCAGAGUGGGGUCCUGGAGACCUGGUGCCCCCAGCGCUCCCCCUUUCCCGCCACCCCCCCCCCCAGCUCUGGGCUUUGGGAGGAACGCCUGCAGCACAGCUUCCCUCCCAAGUCAGCCCAGGGUGGGCAUGGGUCUGGGAGGCGGCUCCGGAGGUGUGGGUCCUGCCCAGACUGAUGCAUCAGGGAAGGCUCCCCUGAGGAGGGGGCCUUAGCUGGAGGGUUGGGGGGACCUGGACUUUAGCCAGGAGGAAAAAUUAAGAACCCAUGGAGUUCCCGUCAUGGUGCAGCGGAAACGAAUCUAAGAACCAUGAGGUUGAGGGUUCAAUCCCUGGCCUCGCUCAGUGGGUUAAGGAUCCCACAUUGCUGUGGCUGUGGUGUAGGCCAGUGGCUACAGCUCCAAUUCAACCCCUAGCCUGGGAACCUCCAUAUGCCG